UACGUAGGAGACGAGCGUUGUCCGGAGUUACUGGGCGUAAAGGGUGCGCAGGCGGCCUGGCGCGUCGCGAGUGAAAUCUCCUGGCUCAACUGGGAGGGUGGUCGCGAGACGGCUGGGCUUGAGGCUCGGUGAGGGGCGUGGAAUUCCGGGUGGAGCGGUGAAAUGCGUAGAGAUCGGAAAGAACACCAACGGCGAAAGCACUCUGCUGGGCCGACACUGACACUGAGAGACGAAAGCUAGGGGAGCGAAUGGG
rnacentral:rRNA from 1 species